rnacentral:other from 2 species
ACUAACCUGAUCGGUGCGCUACGUAUUUUAAUUCAACCGACAAAUUUUAUACGGGAAUUGACCGUUUUUCCUUGCCGAGACAAUGCCACCUUCGAGUGGACUGUCGGAGUGGGAAAUAGUUUACCCACCUGAACAUGGCGGGUGUGAAUUAUGAUACACGGACGGCCGAUCGGGGCCCAA